UGGGGGAUAUUGCACAAUGGGCGAAAGCCUGAUGCAGCGACGCCGCGUGGGGGAUGAAGGCCUGCGGUUUGUAAACUUCUUUUGCUCUGAACAAGGCGCACCAUGGGGUGUGUUGAGUGUAGGGGUUGAUUAGCGCCGGCUAACUACGUGCCAGCAGCCGCGGUAAUACGUAGGGCGCGAGCGUUGUCCGGAAUUAUUGGGCGUAAAGGGCUUGUAGGUGGCUGGUUGCGUCUGUCGUGAAAGCUCAUGGCUUAACUGUGGGUUUGCGGUGGGUACGGGCUGGCUUGAGUGCAGUAGGGGAGGCUGGAAUUCCUGGUGUAGCGGUGGAAUGCGCAGAUAUCAGGAGGAAUACCGGUGGCGAAGGCGGGUCUCUGGGCUGUUACUGACACUGAGGAGCGAAAGCAUGGGGAGCGAACAGG
rnacentral:rRNA from 1 species